AUUGAAUGCUGGCGGCAGGCCUAACACAUGCAAGUCGGGCGAGCCGCGGACGGGUGAGUAAUGUAUGGGGAUCUGCCUUAUGGCGGGGGAUAACUACUGGAAACGGUAGCUAAUACCGCAUACCCUCAGCUGAACCCAUAUGGGAUUAGCGUGUAGGUGAGGUAACGGCUCCCCAAGGCGACGAUCCCUAGCUGGUCUGAGAGGAUGAUCAGCCACACUGGAACUGAGACACGGUCCAGACUCCUACGGGAGGCAGCAGUGGGGAAUAUUGCACAAUGGGCGCAAGCCUGAUGCAGCCAUGCCGCGUGUGUGAAGAAGGCCUUCGGGUUGUAAAGCACUUUCAGCGAGGAGGCGUUACUCGCAGAAGAAGCACCGGCUAACUCCGUGCCAGCAGCCGCGGUAAUAC
rnacentral:rRNA from 1 species